UUACAAGUAGAGUUUACGAACUCUUAAACCCUUUGUGAACCUUACCUAUCGUCAGUUGCUUCGGCGGGAGGCCCCUGGGAGGGGCCCCGGGGCCCGGCCUGAGCCGGGCUCCCGCCGGAGGAGCGCAAACCAAACUCUUGCUGUACCUCAGUGGAACAUCCGAGUUAAAAUAAAAAAACAAGUUAAAACUUUCAACAACGGAUCUCUUGGUUCUGGCAUCGAUGAAGAACGCAGCGAAAUGCGAUAAGUAAUGUGAAUUGCAGAAUUCAGUGAAUCAUCGAAUCUUUGAACGCACAUUGCGCCCGCCAGUAUUCUGGCGGGCAUGCCUGUUCGAGCGUCAUUUCAACCACUCAGGCCCUGGUGCCUGGCGUCGGGGCUUCUUAUAGAUCCCCUAGAAACAGUGGCGGACCCGCCGCGGCUCCGAGCGUAGUAGUAAAAUAUCUCGCUAUGGAGGUCCGUGGGGGGAUUACCGGCCGUAAAACCUCUUCUUUACUGAAGAACUUCUCAAGGUUGACCUCGGAUCAGGUAGGAAUACCCGCUGAACUUAAGCAUAUCAAUAAGCGGAGGAAAAGAAACCAACAGGGAUUGCCCCAGUAACGGCGAGUGAAGCGGCAACAGCUCAGAUUUGAAAUCUGGUCCCCAGGGCCCGAGUUGUAAUCUGUAGA
rnacentral:rRNA from 1 species